GCGGGAGUAGUUCAAUGGUAGAACCUUAGCCUUCCAAGCUAAUGACACGGGUUCGAUUCCCGUUUCCCGCU
rfam:Vitreoscilla filiformis strain ATCC 15551 chromosome, complete genome.